GUGGGGAAUUUUGGACAAUGGGGGAAACUCUGAUCCAGCGACGCCGCGUGAAGGAUGAAGGCCUUCGGGUUGUAAACUUCUUUUGGAGGGGACGAAUAAAUUGACGGUACCCUCAGAAAAAGCCACGGCUAACUACGUGCCAGCAGCCGCGGUAAUACGUAGGUGGCGAGCGUUACUCGGAAUUACUAGGCGUAAAGCGUAUGUAGGCGGUUGUAUAAGUCUAUGGUGAAAUUUCAUGGCUCAACUAGGAAGGGACAUAGAUACUGUAUGGCUUGAGUGUUGGAGGGGGAGACGGAAUUCCUGGUGUAGCGGUGAAAUGCGUAGAUAUCAGGAGGAACACCGAUGGCGAAAGCAGUCUCCUGGCCAAAUACUGACGCUGAGGUACGAAAGCUAGGGUAGCAAACAGGAUUAGAAACCCCUGUAGUCC
rnacentral:rRNA from 1 species